CUCUGCUCGCAAGAUGUUGAUCUUGCCUGACGAGUCCCCGCCUACGCCGAUAGCUUCGGCGGGCAGGCGAAAGGACGAAAGCAGAA
rnacentral:hammerhead_ribozyme from 24 species